rnacentral:rRNA from 1 species
AGUUUUGAGCUAAAUAUAUUAUAAUAUUAGUUUACUUAUGAAGGUGUUGUAAAACCUUAUUAAAAAUUAUAUUUAGGGGUGAUAGGCCUUUCAAAAACUAAGAUAUCUUGAAUCUAAUUAAAAGUAUGUAGUACAUUCAACACAACUAUUAAGUGAUUAGGCUUUAUAGAACUAUUAACUUAUAAGGAUUUUUAUUUAUUAUAAUUUAAUAAUUAAGUAUAUAAAUAAAAUAAUAUACAUAUAUUAUAGUUUAUAAGGAGUAAUUAGAUAAAUUAAAGUUCAUAAAUUUUGUAAUAAUGUUAAUAUUAGUAUUAAGUUUAUAUUUAUAUGAUGAACUCGGCAAAAAUGUUUCUCAACUGUUUAUCAAAAACAUAACUAUGUGUAUAAAUACAUAGCGGUUUCUGCUCAA